rnacentral:rRNA from 1 species
UAAUUGAAGAGUUUGAUCAUGGCUCAGAUUGAACGCUGGCGGCAGGCCUAACACAUGCAAGUCGAGCGGUAACAGGGGAAGCUUGCUUCCCGCUGACGAGCGGCGGACGGGUGAGUAAUGUAUGGGGAUCUGCCCGAUAGAGGGGGAUAACUACUGGAAACGGUAGCUAAUAC